rnacentral:tmRNA from 1 species
CAUGGUUUCGACGUGGGUUGCAAAACCUGAGGAGCGUGCCGAGGCGCAGAUUACCUCGUAAAUCCGGUCUGCAAAAAAAUAUAGUUGCCAACGACGACAACUACGCUCUAGCCGCUUAAACCGGCUAGCCACUGCCUGGAGCCGUGCUUGUGCGUUCAGUACAGGGGUCAACCUUCACAAGAUCGUAGAGCCAUUUGUUUGGGGUGGUUUUGCUAAAAAUAACCAAACUCACUGUUAGAUUAUCCUGCCCGUCGGAUGACUAGCAGUUAGAAUAAAGAUAGGGCUACGCACGUAGAACUAAGGGCGGAGGACUUACGGACGCGGGUUCGAUCA